CUCCGCCAUGUCCUCCUUUGUACAUGGUAUCCAUUUUUGCUUCUGUAUAUUUGAGGAGGGGUGAGGUUGGUGAGGGAGUAAGAUCGGGGUAGGACUUCGUAUUCUCAGGGUUGGUGUUGCAUAAAGUUUAACCAAGGAUUCCAGCACACUGUGAUAGGUGCAUUUCCUCCAUAAGUCGGAUGGAUUCACAUUUCUGUAUCCAAUCUCUAAGUGUCGGAGAGGAGGUCUUUUUCCAAUAGAGGGGGAAUUAUAUGUUGGCCCCUGUCAGGAAACUGUGGGGUUUGGUAAAUGGGUUUGGGUAUAGGAAAAACAAUGAGGCCUUUGGUGAGACGGGAAGUGGAACUUCUGUGAUCAAUUGGAUCAAGAAUGUGAUUUUCUAGAAAAUGUGAUUUUAGGAAAAAAAAAUUCUCACAAAAUGAUGAUAUUGG